UUUCCGUAGGUGAACCUGCGGAAGGAUCAUUAUUGAAUAAACCUGAUGUGGUUGUAGCUGGCCCUUUCGGGAGCAUGUGCACACCCGUCGUCUUUAUCUUUCCACCUGUGCACCUUUUGUAGACCUGGAUGUAACACUUUCCGAGGCAACUCGGUCGGGAGGAAUGCUGUCAGCUUUCCUUGAAUGUCCAGGCCUAUGUUUUCAUAUACCCCAAAGAAUGUAACAGAAUGUAUUACUGGGCCUUGUGCCUAUAAACUAUAUACAACUUUCAGCAACGGAUCUCUUGGCUCUC
rnacentral:misc_RNA from 1 species